CAAAGAAUUCCACGUUCAGGUUUCACACAUACCCAGGGCUGAAAGACAAAUCUAAAAUCCUUGACAUUCCCACAGACUGUUAACACAAGCUACCAGCACUAGAUCUCAUGAAUGGUCAUUCACUUGUAGCUAACUUUUCAUCAACCUUUCCUUCUAGCGUCCUUUUUGUCUCAUGUGCUUGCUACCUCCUGGCAGAUGCCAUGUUCCCCUCUGCUGAUCCCUUGCUCUCCACCAGGUUCUGGGACAGAAGGAAGCCUGGAUGCUGUUGCCGUGAGCUGUCAGCUGGCAUGUACGAUGGAUAGAAGCGGACUGGUUUGUGGGCUUUUCCUGACGUCAAGGUGUCUGUGCAUGUAAACUCAUCAACCAGAUGCUGGAAUUCAUGUGCCAUCUCUGAGCCCUCAUGCCCAGUCCUGACCCACGUGGAGCUCUGUCAUCAUUGGAGGAAUGGGUACAGGCUGAUUCAAGACAAACAUCAUCUAUGCAACUUUAUCAAGAUGUAAUAAUCUUAGCACUUUGAUUCAGCUCUAACACCAGAACAUCUUGGCCUCCCUGAUGUCCCCAGGUUAGCAUAUGGAUGGUAACUGAGAGGCCUGGCUAAUGUAAGGAUGGAUCACAUCUUUAGGAAGCAUUUGAAUAGCAUCUUCAAGGAGGAGAAAGGUGCAAGGAGAAAGGCUCAUCAAGUUGCAAGGAUAAAGGAUCAUCAGGCAUUCCAGGGUACAGACAGCCUGACUGCCUGCAGUCAGAGGUUACCUGUCAGACUCCUAGAAGAGGCAGAGAGCUCCUCUCCACAAAGGAGAAGAGCCUGAAGUAGCCCCUUGUUGAAGCUAUAGCCUUCCAGGGCUAUGACGGCGAAACUUUUAACUCUGUGGACACAAGAUUCAGAAGUAUUUGUCCAGCCAUGUACAGUCCUUCUCAUAUCUCACGUGGCAUAACUGCCAGUUAGACCUCGCAAGUGUCGUGUGCUGAGAGUGUCCCACGUGACACACCAGCAAAGGGGGACUUUCUGUCCUUUACAGGGUCUGGAAAUAGGCUGGACACACACUUUACAUUAAAGCUGCAGUUCUGUA